GAACUUGCUAGCAAUCUGGUUACAACAUCUGUAACCCCACUGAUCCCCACAGUUGAUUCGGUUAAUGUGACUGGCCAGGCGGGUGUUCUCUUCCUCACUGUUCCAUAUUUCUCCUGAAACUGUGAGCUUGGCCGAAGAGGAACACAUUCCCUAGUAGAGAAAGACCAGUAUUUGAUCAAGAGUAUGUGAGUAGCUGCUCUCUCCUGCUAGAACCGCCAAACAAGCACUUGAGGAAAUCUUAAGAGGCUGAAGACAUGUCUCAGCAGUUAAGUGCCCUUCCAGU
rnacentral:snRNA from 1 species